rnacentral:rRNA from 1 species
UACGGGAGGCAGCAGUGGGGAAUAUUGCACAAUGGGCGCAAGCCUGAUGCAGCCAUGCCGCGUGUAUGAAGAAGGGCCUUCGGGUUGUAAAGUACUUUCAGCGGGGAGGAAGGCGGUGAAGUUAAUAGCUUCACCGAUUGACGUUACCCGCAGAAGAAGCACCGGCUAACUCCGUGCCAGCAGCCGCGGUAAUACGGAGGGUGCAAGCGUUAAUCGGAAUUACUGGGCGUAAAGCGCACGCAGGCGGUCUGUCAAGUCGGAUGUGAAAUCCCCGGGCUUAACCUGGGAACUGCAUUCGAAACUGGCAGGCUAGAGUCUUGUAGAGGGGGUAGAAUUCCAGGUGUAGCGGUGAAAUGCGUAGAGAUCUGGAGGAAUACCGGUGGCGAAGGCGGCCCCUGGGACAAAGACUGACGCUCAGGGUGCGAAAGCGUGGGGAGCGAAACAGGGAUUAGGAUACCCGU